rnacentral:lncRNA from 1 species
AUGUUGGUCAUGGGCUUGUUAAGGGCAGUUCUUCAAGUACAUGCUGAGAGCCAUGGUCAGCUGACUCUUUCUGACUUUCCAAAUGGGAAACUCCAGAGUAGAUCUUGCAGGUCCAACCCACAGGGACCUUGGCUCAAGGUGCUGUAAUGGGGGCAUCUGAACUUGUGUGAACUUGGAUUUUCUCUUCCGGCCUGUAGGCUGCUGCCCGGCCCUGGAGAGGGUUAGAGGGAGGAGGAGACGCUGGGCCUGUUCACAAAUCAUCACCCCCUCCCGUCGCUGACCUGGAGGUCUCAGGAGGUUCUAGAAGCCAGGGAGGCCAGGGAGGCCAGGGCAUGGGAAUCAGAGAGUUUGGUUCCUCCCAGGUCCUGGGCGCGAAGUGGGGCUGAGAGUGGGGUCACAAUUGGUAAACAAUGGCUCGUGCAUUUAGUAAGCACUCAUUGUAUACAAAAUCCCACAUGGGCAGGUCUGACCUGGCCUUAGAAAGGACCUCUUCCUGCAGCUCAGAAACCUGGGGCUGAGAGAGGGUCCUGUGCUGCCCUGAGUCACGCGGCAGUGCCUGAUGCCUGGGACUAGAGCCUGAGUUCCUUCUUUAGCACCUGCGGCCCACAGAGCUGCCUGAGUACAGGGCACAGCGGCAGGGGAGGGGGCGCCAGCAGAGGGAAAGACAAGAGGUGCCUAGUGUUCUGAAGCACAGCUGCUAGUGGUGGCAGGGGGGACAGGAAAUCCACAGAAGCCCAGACCUGGGAACGCAGAGUUACUGACAGGCACAGGUGUGUGUGUGUGUGUGUGUGUGUGUGUGUGUGUGUGUGUGUGUGCGCGCGCGUGUGUGUGAGAGAGAGAGAGGCCCUGCAGAGUUUGUUCUGUACAGGUUUGUUAAAAUUUUACACCACGUCGACGAGGUGGGUACUCUGUCUCCCAAAGGCUGCCCCACGGCAAAACCAAGAUUUGCUCAACUCGCCGUGUCUCAAUUCCUCUGACCGCAGCCUUCCAGAGAGGGAGCUUUGCCCAGGGAAUUGAGAUGAAGAAACACUCCAGAGAGGGGACGUGCCUCGCCCAGGGUCCUGCAGAGAUCACGUAGACACCUACAGCAGAGGGGACUUGGGCACCACAGGGGACCGUGCAUUGGAUCCUGGCCGAAAGCCAGAAGCCCCUCGAGGACAAGGACCUCCUUGUACCCCACUCCUCCCCGUGGUGCCGACCACAGGGUGCAGCACAUAGUAGGCGCUCAAAAAGUCCUCCACGAUGAGUAAAUCUUUCAUCCUUCAGUAGCUGCAAUCACCUGCCGUUUAUUCAUGUCUUCAUUCAUUUCUCUAGCAACUAGUGAGCACUGACUGUGUGCGUGGCACCCUGCUGGAUGCGGGAACACACAGUUGAAUAAGACACCGUGCCUGCACCCCCUGCACCUGUUGACUUAUCUUCUGGUGGGGGUCUGGGGUUACCCCACAUCAUAACACGUGCCCCCAUAGUUUUCCUCACUCCCAACUCAGGCUUC